AUUGAACGCUGGCGGCAUGCCUUACACAUGCAAGUCGAACGGUAACAGGUCUUCGGAUGCUGACGAGUGGCGAACGGGUGAGUAAUACAUCGGAACGUGCCUAGUAGUGGGGGAUAACCACUCGAAAGAGUGGCUAAUACCGCAUGAGAUCUACGGAUGAAAGCAGGGGAUCGCAAGACCUUGUGCUACUAGCGCGGCCGAUGGCCGAAUAGGUAGUUGGUGGGAUAAAAGCUUACCAAGCCGACGAUCUGUAGCUGGUCUGAGAGGACGAUCAGCCACACUGGGACUGAGACACGGCCCAGACUCCUACGGGAGGCAGCAGUGGGGAAUUUUGGACAAUGGGCGAAAGCCUGAUCCAGCAAUGCCGCGUGCAGGAUGAAGGCCUUCGGGUUGUAAACUGCUUUUGUACGGAACGAAAAGCCCCGGGUUAAUACCCUGGGGUCAUGACGGUACCGUAAGAGUAAGCACCGGCUAACUACGUGCCAGCCGCCGCCGUAA
rnacentral:rRNA from 1 species